rnacentral:rRNA from 1 species
UACGUAGGGUGCGAGCGUUGUCCGGAAUUAUUGGGCGUAAAGAGCUUGUAGGCGGUUCGUCGCGUCUGCUGUGAAAAUCCGGGGCUCAACCCCGGACUUGCAGUGGGUACGGGCAGACUAGAGUUCGGCAGGGGAGACUGGAAUUCCUGGUGUAGCGGUGAAAUGCGCAGAUAUCAGGAGGAACACCGGUGGCGAAGGCGGGUCUCUGGGCCGAAACUGACGCUGAGGAGCGAAAGCGUGGGGAGCAAACAGG